GGGGUUGUUAAGGAACUCGGCAAGUUGACCCCGUAACUUCGGGAGAAGGGGUGCUUACGAAGGUAAGCCGCAGAGAAUAGGCCCAAGCGACUGUUUAGCAAAAACACAGCUCUAUGCUAAAUCGAAAGAUGACGUAUAUGGGGUGACACCUGCCCGGUGCUGGAAGGUUAAGAGGAGAUGUGAGAGCAUUGAAUUGAAGCCCCAGUAAACGGCGGCCGUAACUAUAACGGUCCUAAGGUAGCGAAAUUCCUUGUCAGGUAAGUUCUGACCCGCACGAAUGGUGUAACGAUUUGGGCACUGUCUCAACAACCUACCCGGCGAAAUUGUAGUACCGGUGAAGAUGCCGGUUACCCGCGACUAGACGGAAAGACCCCAUGGAGCUUCACUGUAGCUUAAUAUUGAAUUUUGGUAUUUCAUGUACAGGAUAGGUGGGAGACUGGGAAAUACAGGCGUCAGCUUGUAUAGAGUCACUGUUGGGAUACCACUCUUGAGGUGCUGAAAUUCUAACCUGCGUCUUUGAAUCAGGACGGGGGACAUUGUUAGGUGGGCAGUUUGACUGGGGCGGUCGCCUCCAAAAGAGUAACGGAGGCGCUCAAAGGUUCGCUCAGCAUGGACGGAAACCAUGCCAAAGAGUGCAAACGCAAAAGCGAGCCUAACUGCGAGACUGACGGGUCGAGCAGUAACGAAAGUUGGAGUUAGUGAUCCGGCGGUAUGUGAGUGGAAAUGCCGUCGCUCAACGGAUAAAAGCUACCCUGGGGAUAACAGGCUGAUCUCCCCCAAGAGUCCACAUCGACGGGGAGGUUUGGCACCUCGAUGUCGGCUCAUCGCAUCCUGGGGCUGAAUUCGGUCCCAAGGGUUUGGCUGUUCGCCAAUUAAAGCGGUACGCGAGCUGGGUUCAGAACGUCGUGAGACAGUUCGGUCCCUAUCUGUCGUGGGCGUAGGAUAUUUGAAAGGAGCUGUCCCUAGUACGAGAGGACCGGGAUGGACGCACCUCUGGUGAACCAGUUGUCACGCCAGUGGCACGGCUGGGCAGCUAAGUGCGGAACGGAUAAACGCUGAAAGCAUCUAAGCGUGAAGCCGACCUUAAGAUAAGAUAUCCGUUCUUCGGAAUAAGACCCCUUGUAGACUACGAGGUUGAUAGGCUUAAAGUGUAAGCAUGGUGACAUGUUUAGCUUGCAAGUACUAAUCGGUCGAUUGCUUUU
rnacentral:rRNA from 1 species